AUGAACGCUAGCGACAGGCUUAACACAUGCAAGUCGAGGGGCAGCACAGGUAGCAAUACCGGGUGGCGACCGGCGCACGGGUGAGUAACGCGUAUGCAACUUGCCUAUCAGAGGGGGAUAACCCGGCGAAAGUCGGACUAAUACCGCAUGAAGCAGGGAUCCCGCAUGGGAAUAUUUGCUAAAGAUUCAUCGCUGAUAGAUAGGCAUGCGUUCCAUUAGGCAGUUGGCGGGGUAACGGCCCACCAAACCGACGAUGGAUAGGGGUUCUGAGAGGAAGGUCCCCCACAUUGGUACUGAGACACGGACCAAACUCCUACGGGAGGCAGCAGUGAGGAAUAUUGGUCAAUGGCCGAGAGGCUGAACCAGCCAAGUCGCGUGAGGGAUGAAGGUUCUAUGGAUCGUAAACCUCUUUUAUAAGGGAAUAAAGUGCGGGACGUGUCCCGUUUUGUAUGUACCUUAUGAAUAAGGAUCGGCUAACUCCGUGCCAGCAGCCGCGGUAAUACGGAGGAUCCGAGCGUUAUCCGGAUUUAUUGGGUUUAAAGGGUGCGUAGGCGGCCUUUUAAGGCAGCGGUGAAAGUCUGUGGCUCAACCAUAGAAUUGCCGUUGAAACUGGGGGGCUUGAGUAUGUUUGAGGCAGGCGGAAUGCGUGGUGUAGCGGUGAAAUGCAUAGAUAUCACGCAGAACCCCGCUUGCGAAGGCAGCCUGCCAAGCCAUGACUGACGCUGAUGCACGAAAGCGUGGGGAUCAAACAGGAUUAGAUACCCUGGUAGUCCACGCAGUAAACGAUGAUCACUAGCUGUUUGCGAUACACUGUAAGCGGCACAGCGAAAGCGUUAAGUGAUCCACCUGGGGAGUACGCCGGCAACGGUGAAACUCAAAGGAAUUGACGGGGGCCCGCACAAGCGGAGGAACAUGUGGUUUAAUUCGAUGAUACGCGAGGAACCUUACCCGGGUUUGAACGCAUUCGGACCGAGGUGGAAACACCUUUUCUAGCAAUAGCCGUUUGCGAGGUGCUGCAUGGUUGUCGUCAGCUCGUGCCGUGAGGUGUCGGCUUAAGUGCCAUAACGAGCGCAACCCUUGCCACUAGUUACUAACAGGUAAAGCUGAGGACUCUGGUGGGACUGCCAGCGUAAGCUGCGAGGAAGGCGGGGAUGACGUCAAAUCAGCACGGCCCUUACAUCCGGGGCGACACACGUGUUACAAUGGCGUGGACAAAGGGAAGCCACCUGGCGACAGGGAGCGAAUCCCCAAACCACGUCUCAGUUCGGAUCGGAGUCUGCAACCCGACUCCGUGAAGCUGGAUUCGCUAGUAAUCGCGCAUCAGCCAUGGCGCGGUGAAUACGUUCCCGGGCCUUGUACACACCGCCCGUCAAGCCAUGGGAGCCGGGGGUACCUGAAGUCCGUAACCGCGAGGAUCGGCCUAGGGUAAAACUGGUGACUGGGGCU
rnacentral:rRNA from 1 species